rnacentral:rRNA from 1 species
AGUGAACGCUGGCGGUAGGCCUAACACAUGCAAGUCGAACGGCAGCACAGUAAGAGCUUGCUCUUACGGGUGGCGAGUGGCGGACGGGUGAGGAAUACAUCGGAAUCUACUUUUUCGUGGGGGGUAACGUAGGGAAACUUACGCUAAUACCGCAUACGACCUACGGGUGAAAGCAGGGGAUCUUCGGACCUUGCGCGAUUGAAUGAGCCGAUGUCGGAUUAGCUAGUUGGCGGGGUAAAGGCCCACCAAGGCGACGAUCCGUAGCUGGUCUGGGAGGAUGAUCAGCCACACUGGAACUGAGACACGGUCCAGACUCCUACGGGAGGCAGCAGUGGGGAAUAUUGGACAAUGGGCGCAAGCCUGAUCCAGCCAUACCGCGUGGGUGAAGAAGGCCUUCGGGUUGUAAAGCCCUUUUGUUGGGAAAGAAAAGCAGUAGGUUAAUACCCCGCUGUUCUGACGGUACCCAAAGAAUAAGCACCGGCUAACUUCGUG